UUUCCGUAGGUGAACCUGCGGAAGGAUCAUUAAUGUGUUUGGGCCUCACGGCUCUUCAUUCCGACGCUGUGCGCCUUCGGGCUGCACGCUGAGGGAGCAUAUAUCCACCCCUGUGCACACACACGGUGGCGAGCUGGGUAACGGCUCGCCGCUGAUCUUUACACACGUCUAAAAGUCAUUGUAUGUUUAUUUGAGAUAAAAACACAACUUUCAGCAACGGAUCUCUUGGCUCUCGCAUCGAUGAAGAACGCAC
rnacentral:misc_RNA from 1 species